UUCCCAGACUCCUACGGGAGGCAGCAGUGGGGAAUAUUGCACAAUGGGGGAAACCCUGAUGCAGCGACGCCGCGUGGGUGACGAAGUAUUUCGGUAUGUAAAGCCCUAUCAGCAGGGAAGAAGAUGACAGUACCUGACUAAGAAGCCCCGGCUAACUACGUGCCAGCAGCCGCGGUAAUACGUAGGUGGCAAGCGUUGUCCGGAUUUACUGGGUGUAAAGGGCGUGUAGCCGGGCUGACAAGUCAGAUGUGAAAUCCGGGGGCUCAACCCCCGAACUGCAUUUGAAACUGUUGGUCUUGAGUAUCGGAGAGGCAGGCGGAAUUCCUAGUGUAGCGGUGAAAUGCGUAGAUAUUAGGAGGAACACCAGUGGCGAAGGCGGCCUGCUGGACGACAACUGACGGUGAGGCGCGAAAGCGUGGGGAGCAAACAGGAUUAGAUACCCGCGUAUA
rnacentral:rRNA from 1 species